GUGUGAUGUAUUACUUGAGAAUGUAUCACCCAUUUAACAAGAAAUAUGAUUGGUACAUCUUUGAGUGAGAUAAUGCAC
rnacentral:pre_miRNA from 1 species